CAGGAUGGCGGUUGGUGGCUACGUGAGGUGAAGGCAGGUCCUUGAUGGCUGCCCUGGGUGUAGACUGCUCACUGGCGGCAGCCUUGGGUGAGGGUGAUCACUGGCUGCUGCCCAGGGUGAUGGCAGGUCACUGGCUGCUGCCCAGGGUGAUGGCAGGUCACUGGCUGCUGCCCAGGGUGAUGGCAGGUCACUGGCUGCUACCCAGGGUGAUGGCAGGUCACUGGCUGAUGCCCAGGGUGAUGGCAGGUCACUGGCUGCUGCCCAGGGUGAUGGCAGGUCACUGGCUGCUGCCCAGGGUGAUGGCAGGUCACUGGCUGCUGCCCAGGGUGAUGGCAGGUCACUGGCUGCUGCCCAGGGUGAAGGCAGGUUACUGACGGUAAACUUCCCAACAAAAUAAUUUGGCACUCGGGAAAGCAGAGUCUACGAGCGGCU